UCAUCAUGCCCCUUAUGACCUGGGCUACACACGUGCUACAAUGGGCAGAACAAAGGGCAGCGAAGCCGCGAGGCUAAGCCAAUCCCACAAAUCUGUUCUCAGUUCGGAUCGCAGUCUGCAACUCGACUGCGUGAAGCUGGAAUCGCUAGUAAUCGCGGAUCAGCAUGCCGCGGUGAAUACGUUCCCGGGCCUUGUACACACCGCCCGUCACACCACGAGAGUUUGUAACACCCGAAGUCGGUGAGGUAACCUUUUGGAGCCAGCCGCCGAAGGUGGGACAGAUGAUUAGGGUGAAGUCGAACAAGACC
rnacentral:rRNA from 1 species